rnacentral:lncRNA from 1 species
GUCAACGACAGCACGCCAGUUUCGAUUCACACGAAAUCCGAGCGUUGGGUGCAGAAGGAACAUAGUUUUCUCCCAACGCACGAUCAAGUAUUAUUGUCGCUCGGAUACUGCCAGCAACAGCCGGCACACGCAAGCACAUAGUUUUGCGGUCAUCAGGGGCAGACAUCAUGGCACGAUUGCCUGUCCUCGUAGCAAGGAAAAUCGGGCUGAGUUAGGCAGCAGUAACAGGUCGCGAGGUGAUAUCUGCACCGACGCUUAAAGCAUAACACUAUGGCAAGCUUGCUGCUCCCUAACACCGUCGUCGUCUCCUUGCCGUCCGGCAGGCGCCGGAGACCACCUGUGGUUAGCUCCUGGUGAUCAGCACCUUUGCCUGCAAAAUGCGUCGGUUGAAUCAUAUUUAUAUAUCCACAGUUCCACUUCCACACCAGUAAAAACUUGUAGAUCUAGCUACAAUGGCGAGAUAUAUAUAACAUAUAUAAGCACUCACAUUUUGCAGAGAUGGCAUGGCAUGCCAAGAACACGGUGAGCAGAAUCGGGAUCACCUUAGCAUCCAUCUGCUGCCUGGCUGCCGAUCAAUCAGCAAAGGGGAGUACUACCCGAGGUUAUCCUUUUGAAUCUAUCCGUGCUGAUGAUCGAUAUAUGAACAGCGAGGAACAGGAAAUAGCUCGAGUAUGUAAUAAUUUAUAGAUCAGCAAGUUGAUUCAGUUAACCACAAAAAAAAGCUGGUUGGCCAACAAAAAUUAAUGUGCUUUAUGGAAGCGUAAUUAAUUUAAUUACUACGUAUACUAGAGUACGUUAUUUGAUUAGAUAACCGAAUGUGCUAUGUAUACCUUUGACUGCACUCAAGGGCAAAACUAGAGCAAAUUGAAUGGGGUGCACCACUUAAUCAUAAUAAACCAUAUGAUGUUCGAACAAAAUAGCAUAACUAAUACACAACUACCAUAUUUUUAAAUCAAAAUUCGACUUCUAGCAAUAGCGAUGAGAUUUUGGUCCAAACAUAAGGUAGAGGUAAUUAUAACACUCACCAUUUAACAAAAUGAAGACGACUUUGAUCACUUUAGUGUAGUCAUUGAUAGAAUGCCAAAAUCAUGAAUGAAAGAUGGCUCAUAUAGCAAAAUAUGUGAUUCAGGAAAGAAACAAAAUAGGUCAAUUAUUUAGCAAAUAAAUUGUAAAAAAUAUUCACCAGGCCAUGGGGGUGCACAAAGGGUGAAAUAUGUUUUUGCGAAGGUAGUUUGUUUUUGGCCUGCAUGCCUAGGCAUCCAAAUGGGCCUAACUGGGCUUCGCCCCUGACUGCACUUUAGGAUCUAGGCUAUUUGAAAGACCAAUUCUAGUAUGGCAGCACUUAAAUUGCUGCUGGUCAUGAUCCAUUGAAGGUCAAGUGCUUUGUGCUUGGCCUUAUGGAGAAGGGGCACUCUUAUUUGACCUUGCGCCUUGGUGACUCAACAAGACUUAACCUUUAGUCGUUGCUCCAACGUGUUGGGGUGUGGUGCAUAUAUGGUGUGGCAACACACCUCGAUAUCAUGGGAACAAUUUAAGUUGUCUCAAUAUUCUCUUUACUUCUUGUAUUUCUACUUGGUGUGUUCUUUCCUUCCACAAUGUUCUUAUGAGCUUGAAGUACUUAAAUGACAACAGUGCAUAAGAUUAAUCAUGCUCUCUGAUCGAUAGGUUUUCAUUCUUGUGAAUUAAAUACCCUAUUGCUGCGUGAUCUUUGCUGAAGACAUAGCCUAAGUACUUCUUUAGUGCUAUUUUUUGUGCUAUUUUCAAACUAUUUCCAAAGGUCUUCAUUUUAAAUGAGAGAUGAUGCCCAUGGCCACCUUUAGAAAUGUAUUUAUAGCUAUUGAUGUCCAUCUCUAACAAUACAUUUCAGACGUGGAGUUUUUAGCACCCGUGAAUAUUGACCAUUUCUAGAGAGUCCCUUAAUAAAAGAGGAGUCAUGUAAUCACUUGUAAAAAUCCUAUUUAUCGCUUGCUUCUAGAAAUAGUUUUUUAGUAGUGACUGUGUGUUGCAAAAAGAUGUUGGAUAUUUUUUCAUACAAAGUGGAUUGCUAGUGUUGGUAUUUUUAGCAUCACUUCAUAUUAAGUUGUCAUCUCUAACAUGAUGCCAAAAACCAAGGAUAAAAAUAAUCUACUCGCAAUAACUCUAAAUAGAAUAUAUCCGCAAGCGCACAGAUAAUUCUCCCAUUGUAGCAUUUUGCCCAGGAAGUAUUCCGAGUAUCGUUGAUUUAUUUUAUGUCAAAAGGAUAAAGCAGCAUUCUAUUCAUUAGGCUUAGGUAAUCUUGUAGGAACUAAAGAAAUUAUAAUUAUGUAAAUCUAUCACAACCAAUAGUACUAAUGCUUUAGUGAUAACUAGUCGAUAAUAUGAUAAAUGAUAAAUGAUAACUGAGUAAUGAAGUAAAUGGUAUUCCAGAGAUAAGAAAUAAAGACUCACCAAUGUAGCAAGGCAAUCUUGAUAUUCAAAUAAAAUAAAAGAAACCUAUGCAAUUACUAAUAUAAAAUCUACAGCCUACGCCAUGCUACAUAUUUUCAUCUAUAAUGUGACAAACUCAGAAAACAUCAUAAGUAGCAUCAACUAAUAAGGAUUUUAAGACGCAACUGUCACCUCCUUCGCGACCGCGCUCGGCUAGUCCUAUGUAUGGGGGGUGGACUACAAAGAAACCAACGCAUCUGUCACCUACGCGGACUACCAAACGACCCGACACAUCAGGGUGCCUUCGUAGGUACACAAUAUAUCUAGACACCACGUCUACAUAGUAUACACCACCUGACUCACUCGAGUACUGAAUCAGGCGCUUUACGAUCAUAUAACGAUAAUCAUCAUGAACCACAUCUAUAUCGAAUAUGCAACUAGAAUAAACUAAGAACUGAAUAAAUAGCAAUAUAUUAAAGUAGAGCAAAGUCAUAAUGAAAUACAAGAUAAUAUUACCAAUUUCUGGAAUCCCGAGGAGAGCGCCCGAUCUCUACUUGAACCUCGCUAGACACCUAUACUAAACAACUUCAAGAACUAGAGCUCUGCUUCUAAUCUCUGGAAAACCCUAACUUCUGACUACUCUUGACAAAUGAAGCAGGAGGAAUGAAUUGAAUCUGGGGUGCUUCUGGGAGGGGGUCUGCCCCUUUAUUUAUAGCCUCGUGGAGUACGUGUGCGCCGUAGAAUCAAACCGACUUAACCAAAGGCCGAGAUGCAUCAAGAGAGGAGGUGGAGGAAGCUUCCAGAAGAGGGGGCCGAAACCCUAAAGGGGGGCGCCGGCGGGCGCUAGGGUGGGGUCGGCCGGCCCCACCUAGCAGCCGCCAAGCCCCCCGUUGCGUCGGGUGCGUUCUCGAUCCUUUCUGAGUCUUCCCGCGACAUUUGCCGUGGCGGAUAAUUUUCGUGUAUAUUUUGCAUUGGAAUCUCUCUUUUCAGCUUUCCUGAAAUUCACCCUGGAAAAUAUAGAGUAUGCAAAACUUGUGGAAAUUGUCAGUUUAAACCCUAGACUAGCGUGUAUUCGUAUUUUCCUUUGGAUUUAA